AGCAUUUCAUAGCAAGGGCCGGGCAAGACCGGUGCCAGCCGCCGCGGUAACACCGGCGGCUCGAGUGGUAACCGUUAUUAUUGGGUCUAAAGGGUCUGUAGCCGGCCGGAUAAGUCUCUUGAGAAAUCUGGCAGCUUAACUGUCAGGCUUUCAGGAGAUACUGUCUGGCUCGAGGCCGGGAGAGGUGAGAGGUACUUCAGGGGUAGGGGUGAAAUCUUGUAAUCCUUGAAGGACCACCAGUGGCGAAGGCGUCUCACCAGAACGGACCUGACGGCAAGGGACGAAAGCUAGGGGCACGAACCGGAUUAGAUACCCGGGUAGUCCUAGCCGUAAACGAUACUCGCUAGGUGUCGGCCACGGUGCGACCGUUGUCGGUGCCGUAGGGAAGCCG
rnacentral:rRNA from 1 species